GAUGAACGCUGGCGGCGUGCUUAACACAUGCAAGUCGAACGAAACACCUUAUUUGAUUUUCUUCGGAACUGAAGAUUUGGUGAUUGAGUGGCGGACGGGUGAGUAACGCGUGGGUAACCUGCCCUGUACAGGGGGAUAACAGUCAGAAAUGACUGCUAAUACCGCAUAAGACCACAGCACCGCAUGGUGCAGGGGUAAAAACUCCGGUGGUACAGGAUGGACCCGCGUCUGAUUAGCUGGUUGGUGAGGUAACGGCGCACCAAGGCGACGAUCAGUAGCCGGCUUGAGAGAGUGAACGGCCACAUUGGGACUGAGACACGGCCCAAACUCCUACGGGAGGCAGCAGUGGGGAAUAUUGCACAAUGGGGGAAACCCUGAUGCAGCGACGCCGCGUGAGUGAAGAAGUAUUUCGGUAUGUAAAGCUCUAUCAGCAGGGAAGAAAAUGACGGUACCUGACUAAGAAGCCCCGGCUAACUACGUG
rnacentral:rRNA from 1 species